rnacentral:rRNA from 1 species
AGAUUGAACGCUGGCGGCAUGCCUUACACAUGCAAGUCGAACGGCAGCACGGGAGCAAUCCUGGUGGCGAGUGGCGAACGGGUGAGUAAUACAUCGGAACGUGCCCAAUCGUGGGGGAUAACUACGCGAAAGCGUAGCUAAUACCGCAUAAGAUCUAUGGAUGAAAGCAGGGGAUCGCAAGACCUUGCGCGAAUGGAGC